UACAGAGGGUGCGAGCGUUGUUCGGAAUCACUGGGCGUAAAGCGCACGUAGGCGGAUGUGUCAGUCAGGGGUGAAAUCCCGGAGCUCAACUUCGGAACUGCCCUUGAUACAGCACGUCUUGAGUCCGGAAGAGGUGGGUGGAAUUCCUAGUGUAGAGGUGAAAUUCGUAGAUAUUAGGAAGAACACCGGUGGCGAAGGCGGCCCACUGGUCCGGUACUGACGCUGACGUGCGAAAGCGUGGGGAGCAAACAGG
rnacentral:rRNA from 1 species